rnacentral:tRNA from 6 species
GUCCCCUUCGUCUAGCGGUUAGGACACCGCCCUUUCACGGCGGUAACAGGGGUUCGAAUCCCCUAGGGGACGCCA